rnacentral:lncRNA from 1 species
UUUUUUUUUUUUUUUUUAAUAUUCAAGGUUUAUAAAACUGUCUCCAAUUUAGACUAACAUUUAGGUGUUGAUUAGGACCCAAUACCCAAACAUUCUGAUAUUUUCCCCUUUUCUAAUAUUGUAAGCUAUUCUCAUCCACUUCCAAUUCUGAUUCGUAACAGCUCAGUUUCACAUGAUUCCAUGAUGGGAAUAACUGGGAAGAGGGCAAAAAAAAAGGAACAAUAUUCACAAGAAAGCUGUCUGUCUGAUAUAAGAGAAGAGAAUCACAUCACACGGGUAGCUUGUGACGUGCUCUUGGCUGUUGGUCUAUCCUUAUACUUUCUUAGUGAUUUAUUCAAGGGGCUCUGCUUUGUUUCACUUGCAAACUAUUUUAACAUUGCUGAGGGUAAACAGAGUGUCACCAGAUUUCCCGUCUUCCCCGGGUCAUUUUUCCUGGUUAUAUAAAUGUUUGUCUUAAUCCUACUUCUUCCUCUGCACUUUUCAAAAUGUUUUUCUAUGCUUCUAGUCUGCACAGGGUCAGUGUGCUAAUUACCAAAUGAGACGAAGAUGAAAGAGACUCCAUACUCAGGGCCAAAUAUCUAGGCUACAAGUCUUCAGGCAAAAUCAUGUUUUUUAUAACAUUUGUAGUCAUCCAUCCAGGCACCCUUCACCCUCACAUGUUGUUUCGAAUUAUUAAAUGACAGCUCCAAAUGGGCUCAGAGCAGAAAACUCCAUGCUAAGGAUCCAGUAACGGCUGCUUCUGCUUUUGUGGUUUUCAGAAGUGGGAAAGACGCAAUAGUCAGGUACACUGAUUUAUCAGCAUGUUUUCCUCAGCUCCAAACUUGCAUAUUAGGGGGAGAAUUCUAGGUUAAAUGUGAACGCUUUACAGCUUUCCCACCAACCGAACUGUGUUGUAUUUGGCAAAUGGUUUUCUGGAAGGAGAACAACACGUUAAGCUCUAGCCAUGACAUAGUUUGUGAUAAGCUUAACUGAAUUCAAGAAGGAACAAUUGAUGCCAACUGUUCUUACACUCUUAAAAUUUCUCAUGCAUGGAGGGGGAGAAAAAGCUCCAACAAAGCUUGAAUAUUUCAAAAGCAAUUUGAUAUACAAACCAAAUUAAUGAAUACUGAUACUAUUCUUAAGUGGUUUUAAAAAUUAUAAACAAUCCUCUGAUCAUGUCCGGAGAGAAAUAUUUAGACUAAAAUAUUAAUGAUUGAAACUGGAUAAAAAUGUGCUACUAAGUUGUGUUUUUUUUUUUAAAUACUUCCUAUUCAACCCCAAAAGUGCACAGAAAAAAUAGACCAUUUUUUGCUAUAAACUAACAUAGCUGAAAUAAUCACAGGCAUUAAUUUUUCUGGUUCUUUAUGAGAACUGUUAUGUUUUUAUAAGCCUCACCACCAGAAGAGUAUUUCUGUUUAAAGUGUUUAAUGGUAGAGACUAAAAAUUCUGUUACCUAAAGUUAAGCAGCUUCUAAAUUUUAGUCACCUAAGCCCAGCAUAUCUUUUGCUAAGGGGAAUAAUUCUAGCUAUAAAGAGAUGAUUCAUUCAUGAGCAACCAGCCUACACAUUCCAUUUUAUCUAUGGAGAGGCUGACAACCAAGCUCAAGUUCAGUACAUGGUUAAAAGAAAAAAAAAAAUACCUAAAGGAACUUUUCAGGGCCAUGGCAGUGACAUUUCAAAUGAUUUUAGAGCUCCUUGGAGGUGAGGACAAAUGCCAAGAGAAUGGCACAGGCCAGCCUACAUAAAUCAAAUUAUUCUUUCAUUUAGCACUUUGGUCAUGUACUUGGUGCAUCACAAAGAAACUCUCUCAGAUGUAGGUAAGUAGACAGAUGCCAACUCAAGUAGAACUUUAGAGGUGUCAGAUUGGCCUCUGCUUGGCCUCUGGUCUGCAUCUCAUGCCCAAAUAAUACCUUUACAGUGAAAUUGGAAGGCAGGCAGUUAAAGUGAGAAUGAGGACAGAAUGCCUUUGAGAAUCAUAAAAGUUAUAAAUUGUUUCCUGUAAAAAUGAUCAUACACAUAAUUUUGUAAACGUGAAGGAAUUUUUUAUGCUUUGUGAAAUUCAUCUGCAGAACUGUAAUCAUUUAUGGACCUCAUAUUAACAAUCUCAGAAAAAAGACAUUUUCCCCUAGUAAGGAGCAAAUGUCAUUGAACAAAGUAACAAAUGUUUUGAAUCACUGACACAGAUUUCGUCUCCUUCAGUAAAUUCUUUUUCAGCUCCUACCCUUACACAAGGCACCGUUCAAAAUGCUCUGUACCCCUAGGUGGUCUCAGCAGAGCCUCACAUUGAAGAGCAGGUUUGGCUGAAGGGCAGCACUUCAUUUUAUAAUAGUAUUAUUGCAACCAAAGGGUUGUGUUCAUUAUUGCUGUUCUGCUCCAGUUUAACUUCUUAUACUUACUGUUCAAAGAAAGAUUUCUGCAAGCUCAGAAAACAUAUUAACUUUUAAUGAUGCAAUUUGGGGUAAGUGUCUACAAAAACCACACUGACUCCGUGGAGAUGGUAUCACCAGUUACCCAUUGCAAAGCACGGCCCAAACCUGACACGACACUGCCUCUGGCUAUGUGACAUGACUCAAGCACACAGUCAGGAGGAGGGCUCUGGAGCCCCACUUACACAGACAUGGGCAUUCUGCUGCUGCAAGAGGUUCUGAGAGCAAGGCCCUAACAGGAGAGCCUGAGAUAGCUGUUGAAUCCUAGCAGAAUGCAAACUACAAUCCUGACCCUAUAAGACCCUUUAGCUGAGAAUUUCCAAGACUGCUUCACUAUUUCUAUGACCAUACCUUUGCCACUAAAUCUCAAAGACAAGACAGGUGUGUCCAGUAGGCGGGUUGGAAUCCUGCCUCCACUUGCUACUUCCCAGCUUUGUCACUAAAGGGUCAGGCAGUUAACAUAAGAUAAGGUCGCUACCACCGGAAGGCUCCUGUGAGACCAUCUCCUUGAGGAUUUAGGGGGAUACAUGACAAAGAGAAGCUUUGUCAAAUGUUCAUUUAAAUGACAAAUGUUCAGUCUUUUCAUACAUUAUCCAUUCUGAUCCUCACGGCCUCUGAAAGUUAGUUUUGUUGGAUCUGAUUCAGAAAAAGUCAACCUUUCUCCAAGUCACAGCAGCUACCUUGGUGGAGAGCUCAAACUGGAAAGUAAGACUUCUGAUCCCACACUGGCAAGCACUCUCAAAUAGUACAGGUGCCUGUGAACAUGGACCCAAGCAAAGUGUGAGGAACACUGCUGAUGCAGUAUUAAACAAGACAGGGAUUUUGCUCUCACGAUGGAACAGAGUCCAAUGAGAAAAGCCUCUGACGCAUACAUGUUUAUGUAUGCGAUGACAAUUUUCAGCAGGAAAAACAAACAGCAGGACCCGCUAAAGGAAAGCAUAUGGGGGACUGAGCCAGCAAUAGCUUUCUACAAAAAAUGGCACUUGAUCUGGGCCUCAAGGUGCAGUGAAAACACCUGAAGUCAGACCACCAGGACAGAAUUACCACUAAUAAGUAAUGAGGCUUUGAAUAAAUUCCUCAAUUUCUCUAGACUAUAAUUUUUCUCACGUGGAAAAUGGGGAUAAUAAUAUCCACCUCACAGAAUUGCUACGAGAAUUAAAGUAAUGUUUGUAAAACCCUUACAACCAGAUAAUUUGUUGUCUAAACCAAGACACUCUUGAGAGCAUGAGAAAGCACUAUCAGAAAUUAUUCCAGGGUGGGGCACCUGAGUGGCUCAGUUGGUUAAGCAUCUGAUUCAUGAUUUUGGCUCAGGUCAUGAUCGAGAUUCUCUCCCUCUCCCCCUCCCCCAAAUAAACAAAUAAAUAAUCUUUAAAAAGAAUUUGUUCCAGAGAAACAGGAAAACCUGGGCAUAAGUCACCCUAUUUAUCACCAUACUAUUCCAACAUAAAAUGCUUAUAAAAAGGUUCAUUCAUAGAACCAUGUAAUUAUAAAAUAUUAUACCUGGAAGGAACUGACAUAUCAUUAAAUCCAAACAUCCCACUUUAUAGUUGAAGAAAUUGAACCUCUGAAUGGUUAAAUGACAGGGAUGUUUCAUUUCAGAGGCAGGAUCAGUGCCUAACUUUUCUGACUGCUCACCCAGGUACCUUACCAUGAUCACCCCUCAUCUCUAAAAAAAAUUUCUUCUCAACCAACGCUGUCACAGAAAUGAUAGAAAAUCCAUAAUUCUCCUCAACAGCUUGUCUCACAGUUCGUAAAUCCCGACUGACUGAACCUAGCCAAUUGCAGAUCCAACUAGUACUGUCUUCAGGGAAGAGAAGUACAACUAGCCCGUCACUAACCAAGGAGGAAGGGGAAUUUCACCCUGCCACAGGUCAUUUAUUGCUGCGUUUACUUAUGUCUCAUUUAUAGAACAUCUUUUCCUUGGAUUUGAAGAUUCAAUUAAUUCAUAAUAAAUCUAUUUUAUGGAGCAAAUAAAGUAAGAAUAGGAUUUCAUAGAUAAUAACUUCACAUAAAGCUCAUUCUUCCAAUUGACCAAGUAACUCCCUAGGGCAGAAGCUACCCACAUUUUUCUGCACAGUACAAGUGAACUGAUACACGCUCCCAUCAUUAACAGUGAUUCACAAAAAGGAGUAGGGAAGAGCGGAGUCUCUGGAAGAUAUGUAAAAAAUUUUUUCUCGAAGACCUUCAAUAUAUUCUGAUCCUCUUCUGACUUCCUCCCCAAACUCCUCCCACCUCCUAAGCCAUUUUUUUUCAUGGUUCUGGAAGUUGAACAUAGAGAAUGUCUCUGCCUGGGAAAUGAGUUGGAUUGAGAGAGACUCCAUCCUUAAUUUAUGGAAUUGUUGAAACUCUCCUCAAUAGUUUCUUCUCUAAAAGCUUUACAGUUUCAUCCUCCAAGCAAGGUUACUCUACCUUCUGGGAUGCCAGGGCAUUUGCAUUCACCCCUACUGUACCCUUAGCCACACUCUCUGUUAUAAUGAUUGCUCAGAUCUCUCUGCUCAACAGAGAGCUACUCAGAGAUGUACAUGAAACCUUACACUGCUCCAUCAACCCAGUAACAGCCUGGCACAUAGUAGGAUCUCAAAUAAUCACCACUGAAUAAAUUACUAGGGGAGCCUUGGGAAUAAUAUAUUAAUGAAGAACACUACCCAGGAACUGUUUUCAGGACAAAAGAAAUGAUCUAUGUAAU